GUUGACUGCUAGACUACGAAGUAGAAGACCAGUCUGUUCUGUGGCUUACAUGUAUCUACUUUGGAAGUGUGUGUAAAUAUGAAUGAUGGGUGCUUGGUCUGUUUUCCCCCUUCCCCCCUCCUGUCUUCCAUCCAGCUUCCACUCACCUGGUCCUAAUCAACAAUCAGCACACCUGCUCAGCAAUCAAGCCAGCUCCAGUAUGUAAGCCUGCCGCAACAGCCAGUCUCUGCCGGAUUGUUGCCAUACAGGGGGAAUCUGAGAGCCUGUUCUCCUCCUGUUCCACUCCUCCAGCCUGCCUACCCGCUCCUCCCUGGACUCCCUUUUUCCCCUCUCUACAACUUACCUCAGCCUACCUUUUGUUGAAUAAAACCACUUACCAUCCCAC